AAAUCACAAAAUCAAAACCCUAACUUUAAAUUUUCUCUAAUUACAACUCAUCCAUCCAAAUGAACUCGUCAUCUUCUUCAUCUCAAGUCCUGAUUCAUCAUCUUAAAAUUACAAACCUAAAAGGCUAAAAUCAUUAAGCAAGAUGAAGUGAUUGGGGUAGAUUCGCAACAUCCAGCUGAAUUUCAACACUCAACGUCGCAAAAAAAGGCACAAAAACAACAUCAGCCUUCUCCACAACCAAAACCCGCCUCGCAAAAGACCCAAUUCUCAUCUUUUCAGGGGUCAUCAAAUCACCCAUGAUCCAAUACUCGGCACUAUAUUGCUUAAUCAAUGGAUUAUCACGAUAUAGCGGGCAGGCACAUGGGUCGAUUGAAUGUCGUUGUCUACUUCACUUUCGAGCCUUGAAUUAAAGUUUAAAGACCAGUAUUUUUCUAAGAGACCGUAGAUAAGGGAUCUGGGUAGGUUUGCAAUGAAAACUUUGACAGAAUUAUUGGGAAAGUUUGCAUUGUUCUGGGUUCUGGAAGUGGAGACAAAGAAGGUAC
rnacentral:lncRNA from 1 species